rnacentral:rRNA from 1 species
CAGCAGCCACGGUAAUACGAAGGGUGCAAGCGUCACUCGGAAUUACUGGGCGUAAAGCGUGCGUAGGCGGUUUGUUAAGUCUGUUGUGAAAUCCCCGGGCUCAACCUGGGAAUGGCAAUGGAUACUGGCAAGCUAGAGUGUGUCCGAGGAUGGUGGAAUUCCCGGUGUAGCGGUGAAAUGCGUAGAGAUCGGGAGGAACAUCAGUGGCGAAGGCGGCCAUCUGGGACAACACUGACGCUGAGGCACGAAAGCGUGGGGAGCAAACAGGAUUAGAUACCCGUGUAGUCCCUGUCUCUUAUAC